GCAGUCUCUACAAGGCCACGUUCGAC
rnacentral:piRNA from 1 species